rnacentral:rRNA from 1 species
GACGAACCGUGCGAACGUUGUUCGGAUUCACUGGGCUUAAAGGGCGCGUAGGCGGGCCGCCAAGUCAGGGGUGAAAUCCCGCAGCUUAACUGCGGAAGUGCCUUUGAUACUGGCGGCCUCGAGGGAGGUAGGGGCAUGCGGAACUCCCGGUGGGGCGGUGAAAUGCGUAGAUAUCGGAAGGAACGCCGGUGGCGAAAGCGGCGUGCUGGACCUCUUCUGACGCUGAGGCGCGAAAGCCAGGGGAGCAAACAG